AUAUUUCGAAACUGAGUCUAGUUCCUUCGAUAUCAGUGUAAUCUAAUGAUCAUGAUAUUUGAUUACACUGAUAUUUAUUAGAUUACACUGAUAUCGAAGGAACUAGACUCAGUUCCGAAAUAU